rnacentral:rRNA from 1 species
GACGAACGCUGGCGGCGUGCUUAACACAUGCAAGUCGAACGGAAAGGCCGUGAUUUUGUGCGGUGCUCGAGUGGCGAACGGGUGAGUAACACGUGAGUAACCUGCCCUUCACUUUGGGAUAACUUCAGGAAACUGGGGCUAAUACCGGAUAGGAGCUCCUGCUGCAUGGUGGGGGUUGGAUCGUUUCGGCGGUCGGGGAUGGACUCGCGGCUUAUGAGCUAGUUGGUGGGGUAGUGGCUUACCAAGGCUUUGACGGGUAGCCGGCCUGGGAGGGUGACCGGCCACAUGGGGACUGAGAUACGGCGCAGACUCCAACGGGAGGCAGCGGUGGGGAAUAUUGUACAGUGGGAGGGAGCCUGAUGCGGCAACGCCGCGGGCGGGAAGACGUCCUGUGGGUAGUAAACCGCAGUCGCCUGUGACGAAGCGUGAGUGACGGUAAUCGGUGAAGAAGCACCGGCUAACUACGUG